GGAAAAGCCAAACCUAUCAAGAGAGGCAGAGAUACAGGUGGCAGGGAAGGCGCGCGCUUCCUCCUGGCGCCGCGAACAAAAUUCCUUGCUUCCCCGGCGGCAGCUCGAAUCGGAAUACCCAUUUGUCCAUCCUCGCAAGCACCCUUCCACCGCCUCUUCUUCCAAUGGCGUAUAAAUCGUGUCCGAGCCCAUCAGGCCACCGUGCCCCCCACCAUCACGUUUGUGGCGAUGGCGACGGCGACGGCCUCGAGGUCGAUGGUGGUGAGGCGGAGGCGGAACGCGCUGGCGCAGACGCUGGCGUCGCGGAGGCUUCCGGAGGGCGUGGCGGAGCCCGGGGAGCGGGUGCCCGAAGCCUUGGCCCCAGAGGUGAUGCCAUUCAUCCGCGCAGCCGACGAGGUCGAGCUGCUCAACUCGCGGGUCGCGUUCCUCUGUCGCAGAUAUGCCUACAAGAAAGUUCAAAGAAUGGAUCCAUCAUCCAUCCAACGUGGGGUUCGGCAGUUCAAAACAUACAUGUCACUUAAGCUAGAUCAGGAUGACACGCAAUUUCCUUUAAACGAUUCAAAGGAGAUCCAGCGAUUUUAUAAGUACUACUGUGAAAAUUUGAGCAGAACCUCUGAAAAACAGAACUUUGAGGAAUUGGCUAGAUAUUACCAAGUGGCGUCUGCUCUUUAUGAAGUGUUAAGAGAUGUAACAAACAACAAGGUUGAUUCUGAGGUGAUGAAACUUGCUAAAGUAGUAGAGGAAAAGAGUGCUCAUUUCAAGAGUUACAAGUACAACAUAGUCCCCCUCAAUUUUCCUGGUUCUGCAGAAGCAGUUGUGGAACUCCCGGAGAUAAAAAGUGCUAUAGAUGUAAUACGUAACAUAGACGGUCUUCCAAAGCUACACAUGUCUUCAAUGCAAAGGGAAGGAAAACCUAUCUGGGAUUUACUUGACUGGCUUUCGCUAGCAUUUGGAUUUCAGAAAUCGAAUGUGGAGAAUCAGAGAGAAAACAUGGUGUUACUGCUUGCAAAUAUUAGCACAAGGACCUCAGGACAGGAAGGACAUCCUUUGGUCGACGCUGUGAAUGAUUUGUGGGACAAAAUAUUUGGAAAUUAUGAAUCAUGGUGUCACUAUUUGCAUGUUAGUUCAAGAAUCAUGAUCAAAUAUGAUGACACAGAACUAAAGAAGCAGCAGCUAAUGCUUCUCCACAUUGGAUUGUACCUUCUUAUCUGGGGUGAGGCUUCAAAUGUCCGGUUUAUGCCUGAGUGCUUAUGCUACAUAUUCCAUCAUAUGGCAAAACAGUUGAAUCAAAUGGUUGAAGAAAGUUAUUUUCAACCACCACCUGGGUUUGAAGAGGAGGGAUCAUUCCUAAACAUUAUCAUUGAACCUAUCUAUAAGGUUCUGCAGAAGGAAUCACAAAGAAGUAAAGGUGGUACAGCUGGCCACUCAGCUUGGAGAAAUUAUGAUGACUUGAAUGAACAAUUCUGGUCAGAGAAAUGUUUUAUGAAGCUUGGCUGGCCAUGGGAUCUCAGUGCAGACUUCUUCCAUCAAGAGGUGAUGCUAAUAGUUUCAUGGAGUUCCUCUGGAUCUCUUUCUGGAAUUGCUGAUGCAACUGUAUUCAGAAGCGUUUUAAGUGUCUUUAUAACUGCCGCUCUACUCAACUUCAUAAAAGUGACUUUGGAUAUAUUGCUUACUUUCAAAGCAUGGGGAAAUAUGGAGUGGACACAAAUACUCAGAUACUUACUAAAAUUCUUUGUGGGUAUUGCUUGGAUAAUAAUUCUUCCAGUAACAUAUUCCAGUUCAAUUAAAAGCCCAUCUGGUGCUGGCAAACUCCUGAAUAGUUUGACACGGAAUUGGUACAACCAGUCAGUAUAUAAUUUUGCAAUCGUCAUUUAUAUGAUUCCGAACAUUUUGGCUGCCUUGCUUUUCUUGUUGCCACAACUUCAAAAUAUAAUGGAACGCUCAAAUUGGCGUGCAGUUAUUCUUCUUAUGUGGUGGAUUCAGCCAAGAUUGUAUGUUGCACGUGGUAUGCAUGAGGACAUAUUGUCCAUUUUUAAAUAUGUCUUCUUUUGGGUCGUGUUGCUCACCUCCAAGCUUGCAUUUAGUUUCUAUGUUGAGAUAUCCCCCAUGAUUGAACCGACGAAGUUCAUUCUUGAUCAAGUAGUUGGGAACUAUGAAUGGCAUGAAAUCUUCCCUUUCUUGCCGCACAAUCUCGGUGUUGUCAUUACUAUAUGGGCACCAAUUGUUUUGGUGUACUUUAUGGACACACAAAUAUGGUAUGCUAUUUUCUCCACUGUCUUUGGGGGUGUUUCGGGUGCCCUUAGUCAUGUCGGUGAGAUACGUACCCUAGGCAUGUUGAGAGUCAGAUUCAAAUCAAUGCCAGAUGCUUUCAGGAAAUGUCACGUGGCAGCACAUAAAGAGCAAGCACUUGAUGUGAGGAGCUUCUUUUGUGUUUGGAAUUCAUUCAUCAAUUCCUUACGAGAGGAAGACUUCAUUAGUGAUAGAGAGAAGGACAUGUUGAUGGCUCCAUCAUCUUCAAGUAAUUUACCUGUUGUUCCAUGGCCUCCUUUCCUCCUUGCUAGCAAGGUACCAACAGCUCUCCAUAUGGCCAUGAGUUCCAAAGAGGGGGAUGAACAUGAGCUGAUCGAAAAAAUCAAACUAGACAAGGACAGAUACAAUGCAGUUAUAGAAUGCUACGAGUCCUUGAAAAUAAUAGUUGUUUGUCUUCUGCUAGACUAUAAUGAUAAAAGAAUUGUCCAUGAUAUCGAUAAAAUAGUGCGAAAUAGUAUGCAAAAUAACACACUUUUGGACGACUUCGAGAUGGCAGAGAUUGGUAAAGUCAGCAACACAUUGGCAAAAUUAUUACAGCUACUGAAGAGCGAACCUACUGAUGAUACUACAGAGAGAAAAAUCGUUAAUGCAUUGCAAGAUUUUAUGGAAAUUACUACACGAGAUUUUAUGAAAGAUGGUCACGGCAUUUUGAAAGAUGAGAAUGAGAGAAAGCAGAGUUUCACGAAUCUAAAUAUGAACGUGACAAAGGAUGCAUUUUGGAGGGAGCAGUUUGUCCGGCUGCAUUUAUUGUUGACUAUGAAGGAUUCUGCAAUGGAUGUACCUACAAAUUUGGAUGCUCGACGUAGGAUCACCUUCUUCGCAAACUCACUUUUUAUGAAAAUGCCGAGAGCACCUCAAGUGCAUGAUAUGAUAUCCUUUAGUGUUUUGACUCCAUAUUACAAUGAGGAAGUACUUUAUUCAUCUCAUCAACUAAAUAGAAAGAAUGAAGACGGUAUCUCAAUUUUGUUUUAUCUACAAAAGAUUUAUCCAGAUGAAUGGAAGAACUUUCUACAACGCAUUGGAGUUGAUCCAGAUAACGAAGAGGAAGUAAAGGGAUGCAUGGAUGAUAUCCGUAUAUGGGCGUCUUACCGGGGUCAAACACUUGCCAGAACUGUGAGAGGGAUGAUGUACUAUAGACGAGCUCUUGAAGUGCAAUGCUAUGAGGAUAUGAAAAGUGAACAAGCUGAUUUGGGUGGAGACGAAUCUGCAAGGUCCAAGGCCAUUGCUGAUAUCAAAUUCACUUAUGUUGUUGCCUGUCAACUCUAUGGCAUGCAUAAGGCAUCCAAGGAUUCCCGGGAAAGGGGUCUGUAUGAGAACAUCUUAAAUCUGAUGCUAACGUAUCCAGCUUUGCGUAUUGCUUACAUUGAUGAGAAGGAAGUACCACUACCAAAUGGUAAAAUGAAGAAACAUUAUUACUCUGUUCUUGUGAAAGGUGACGAUGAGGAAAUUUACCGGAUAAAGCUGCCUGGUAAACCAACAGAAGUUGGAGAGGGGAAGCCUAAUAAUCAAAAUCAUGCCAUAAUCUUCACUAGAGGAGAAGCACUUCAAGCAAUUGACAUGAACCAGGAUAACUAUCUUGAAGAAGCAUUUAAAAUGAGAAAUUUGUUGGAAGAGUUCCUUAUUAAACAUGGAAAGUCCAAGCCAACAAUAUUGGGUGUUCGCGAGCAUAUCUUCACAGGAAGUGUUUCAUCACUUGCCUGGUUUAUGUCCAACCAAGAGACCAGCUUUGUUACUAUCGGCCAACGUGUUCUUGCAAACCCUCUUAAGGUACGAUUCCACUAUGGUCACCCUGAUGUUUUCGAUAGAAUCUUUCACAUCACAAGGGGUGGCAUAAGCAAGGCCUCAAAGGUUAUUAACCUCAGUGAGGACAUCUUUGCAGGAUUCAAUUCAACCCUGCGACAAGGAAAUGUUACCCAUCAUGAAUACAUACAGUUGGGUAAAGGACGUGAUGUUGGAAUGAACCAAAUAUCCAACUUUGAGGCCAAGGUGGCAAAUGGUAAUGGUGAACAAACUCUAUGUCGUGAUGUUUAUCGACUAGGACACAGAUUCGAUUUCUACAGGAUGUUGUCUAUGUACUUCACCACAGUUGGCUUCUACUUCAAUAGCAUGGUGGCUGUUCUUACGGUGUAUGUAUUUUUAUAUGGGCGGUUGUAUCUUGUUUUGAGUGGCUUAGAAAAGUCGAUUCUCCAAGAUCCACGGAUUAAAAACAUCAAACCCUUUGAAAAUGCACUUGCCACCCAAUCGGUAUUCCAACUUGGGACGUUGCUCAUCCUCCCGAUGAUAAUGGAGGUCGGCUUGGAGAAAGGGUUUGGUAAAGCCCUGGCUGAGUUUAUAAUCAUGCAACUUCAGUUAGCUCCUAUGUUCUUCACUUUUCAUCUCGGGACAAAGACUCACUACUAUGGAAGGACUAUACUUCAUGGUGGUGCAAAAUAUAGAGGAACAGGCCGGGGUUUUGUUGUACGCCAUGCAAAAUUUGCUGAGAAUUACAGAAUGUACUCACGGAGCCACUUUGUGAAAGCAUUGGAGCUGCUAAUCCUCUUGGUUGUUUAUCUAGCAUACGGGAGUUCUUACAGGAGCUCGAGUUUGUAUGUAUACGUCACAAUUUCGAUGUGGUUCCUUGUUUUCUGCUGGCUGUUUGCACCUUUUAUCUUCAACCCAUCAUGCUUUGAGUGGCACAAGACGGUUGACGACUGGACUGAUUGGUGGAAGUGGAUGAGCAAUAGGGGUGGUAUUGGGCUGGCACCUGAGCAAAGUUGGGAGGCUUGGUGGGUGAGUGAACAUGAGCACCUAAAGAAUGGAACAAUACGUAGCUUGCUCUUGGAGCUGGUUCUGUCGCUGCGCCUCCUGAUCUACCAAUAUGGUAUUGUGUACCACUUGCACAUAGUGCACGAGAACAAAAGCUUCAUGAUAUAUGCACUAUCGUGGCUGGUUAUUGGCAUCGUUCUUGUUUCGCUAAAGGUUGUUUCACUGGGGAGAGAGAAGUUUGUUACCAAGUUUCAGCUUGUGUUCCGUAUACUCAAGGGCAUUGUGUUUCUUGUCCUCAUCGGCUUGAUGGUGGUCUUAUUUGUUGGUUUUGAUCUCGCUGUGUCAGACGUUGGCGCCAGUGUCUUGGCCUUCAUCCCAACUGGCUGGUUUAUUCUUUUGAUGGCACAAGUGUGUGGACCGCUGUUUCGGAGGUUAGUGAUUGAGCCACUUGGCGUGCUGUGUUGCUCCUGCUGCCCUGGUGGAGCAUGCCGAGGGCCUUGCUGCGCCAAGUUGAGGCAGAGGAGUGGGGCUGUGCUCCGUAAGAUAGGGCCAUGGGACUCCAUCCAAGAGAUGGCAAGGAUGUACGAGUAUACCAUGGGGAUCCUCAUCUUCCUGCCCAUCGCCGUCCUCUCGUGGUUCCCCUUCAUGUCAGAGUUCCAGACGCGUCUGCUCUUCAACCAAGCCUUCAGCCGGGGCCUGCAGAUCUCGAGGAUCCUCGCUGGGCAGGACGGGAGGGGUACCAUUACCAAGCGUGAAUGACCUUGCUUGCUUGCAAACCACCCUGCUCUGUCUGUAGCGUGCAUAUUCACGGCGUUGUAUUAUAUUAUAUUGUUGAUUUGGAACUUUGGAAGGAUGCAUUGGAGCAAUAUCUGAUUUGUUCUCACCGUUGAACCAAAACUAAAAGAAAGCUACACAUUUGCUUUUCCAUUACACCUUUUCUUGGAGUUUACAAUUAAUCAUCUAAUAUUUCCCACUUACUAUGGAGAUAGUGCACUUUUUUUUAGAUAACUAGUAAUGCGUUGCAACGGGAGAA
rnacentral:rRNA from 1 species